rnacentral:rRNA from 1 species
AUUGAACGCUGGCGGCAGGCCUAACACAUGCAAGUCGAGCGGAUGAAGGGAGCUUGCUCCUGGAUUCAGCGGCGGACGGGUGAGUAAUGCCUAGGAAUCUGCCUGGUAGUGGGGGAUAACGUCCGGAAACGGGCGCUAAUACCGCAUACGUCCUGAGGGAGAAAGUGGGGGAUCUUCGGACCUCACGCUAUCAGAUGAGCCUAGGUCGGAUUAGCUAGUUGGUGGGGUAAAGGCCUACCAAGGCGACGAUCCGUAACUGGUCUGAGAGGAUGAUCAGUCACACUGGAACUGAGACACGGUCCAGACUCCUACGGGAGGCAGCAGUGGGGAAUAUUGGGCAAAGGGCGAAAGCCUGAUCCAGCCAUGCCGCGUGUGUGAAGAAGGUCUUCGGAUUGUAAAGCACUUUAAGUUGGGAGGAAGGGCAGUAAGUUAAUACCUUGCUGUUUUGACGUUACCAGCAGAAUAAGCACCGGCUAACUUCGUG